ACUGCGGUACAGACGGGGGCAGCGGCGGCGGCGGCGGCUGCACCGGCGGCGGCGGCACCACACAAACAAGGACGCUGAUUGGGCAGCUGCCAAGCGCCUCGGCUCCGCCUUACUCACACGCCACGACGCCCAUUGGGCAACCUGAGCCGGCCACCCCGCCCUCCUCUUCGUGGACCUACCAAUAGAAGCCGAAAUGCGGAGGCUUCGCCCCACCCUUGAACAGGUCUCACUACGUAUAUAGUCCAGCCUGGUCUCACUUGCAGCAAUCCUCCUGCCUCAGCCUCCCAUGCGCUGGGAUUACAGAAGGCACUACCACUCCCAGCCUGCACCUCUUGUGUUAUCAGGCACUGUUCAUGUACUGGGGAGAUAGCAGUGAUGAGACGAAGCUGCCAAACACAGAGCGCACAUCCUUCUUUUCCUAAACUACUGCUUUGUCCAUCAUCAGCCCAAGCAAAUCAUCUGCCGGCUGAAAGCCAUCCUUAGGGCUUUGAGGAAACAUGAGAAAUAGUAGUGGAAGAUACCACCAGCCUGAAGAAGAUACUGCAAGACCUGAGACAGUGCCUUCCAGCGAAAUCAAACUGCGGCCUGCAAGAGGGGCUUUCGUCAGGAACACCCCAACUCUCGGGAAGACAGGCGAGGGCCACAUGGUGUGGCCACGGGCAGAGGAGACAAUAGAGGGCAAGAGGGCAGUGAGCACGCAACAACUCUGCCUGCGCAGGCCCAGUCUGCCUGCUUUCAGAAGCAUGUAUGCAUUGUAUGUGCUUAGCAUUUCAGAUGGAUUGUUUGUACAGUCUUUAUAUGACCCCCACUUAGGAGGAAAACUGAGCCGCAACUGUUAAUAACUUGUCUGCCAUCUUCAAAUUAGUAACCACAGAGAAACAACUGAACUCAUAUUUGUUACAAUUCAGUCUGGACACCUUAUUGUAAAAAUAAAUUAAGCUGGGGUGUUGGGCCUGUCCACCCCUCACACCCUCCCUUGGCCACCGGACAGGCAUCA